CUUCCCUUCCGCUGUGGGCACAGGCCGUGCGGGAGCGCCCGGCCUCUCCGUCCCGGGAGUGGCUGCUCCGCGCCAGCUCCUCCCCCGGCGCCCGAAGCCUGGGGAGCCUCAUCUCCCCGCCCACCCCCGCCUCCUCCCCAUCCCUCCGCCGGCUGGGAACUUCCCGCGACCCCCCGGAUGGGGCGAGGUUCACAUACGUCAAGAUUCUAUUUGUUCUGUGACAGCGUAAAACCGGCACAUUUUUCAUCAAGAUGGAAACAACAAACAAACACAAAACCACGUGCAUCAUGUCCUGGUCACCUUCUCAGUGGGGCCUUCCCUCACCUGCUUUUCAUCUCACCUGGUGUGUGGAGACAGACGCUACAGAGCAGGAGCAGGGGGGCCAGUCAGGAGGCCAUCACACUGACCCAGGUAAGAGAAGACCGGACUCACCC